AAUAGGUCUGCUGGUGGGGAAAAAAAAUAAUGCUGCGUGUAGAAAUCUCUAAGCUUUCAUCCAUUUCUAGGAAACUGGAAUGGGAGGAGCAUUCCUCCUACUCCUGAAGACAUCUGCAGUGUGGGGAUAUAGGGAAACUACUGCAGUACAAGCAUGACUUUAGCAAAUUAAAGUUUGUCAGAAUCUCAGCAAACUUUCCACUGAUCUGGGUUCACUUAUGCUUUUGUUACAGUUCUGGGCUUCUUUCUGAUGUUUCCCUUUGGACGUGUACUUUAAAACUAUUUCAUGAACUUGAGAUGCUUGAUUGUCCGCACAGUCUCAAGAGUAAGCAAGAUAUUUCUUUCUAUGGUCGUCUUCUUCCUCCUCCUCCUGCCUCGUUUUCAACUCAGCAUCUGGCAAAGAUGGACAAACUCUGGGACGUAAAAAUUCCCUUAACUGAAAAGGAGCUCCAUAAGCAGCAGAUCCCAUCAGCACCUGUCUCAGUGUCCCCCAGUGCUUCAUUCCGGCCUAUGAACUCCAGUGUCUAACAAGGACCAGGUUCUGGAUUCUGCAGCCUGCAAGCCUCAGCAGUUUCUCACUCCUACCCAGGCACCUCCUUCUGAGAACUUCACAGACUCUUAAUACAUACCAGCCCCCUGUCAAAUUAGGUUACAACAGACCAUGAGUUCAUAAAAGAUUGGUCGCAUCAUGUGGAAGGAGAGAUUAAUAAUUAAUACAGUCGGUUCUAAUGUGUAAUGACUUUUUUUCAUUAGGAAGUAUGCCUAACAGAAUAAACACACUUCGGCUCUAUUAACGACCAAGAGGCCAACAUUGCUGGUUAUACAGCUAUAAACCAAGAACUGCUCUGAUGCAUCAGCUGCCUUCAGUGACAGCGAAGGGUGACAUAAAGCACCUCACUGGCAGACACACACACCCCACCUAACCACAGCAGUUCUCAACCAGAUAACCAGGCACGUUUAUGAGAAAGGAUGGGGACAGCAGAGAUCAGAUCUCUGAAAGACUCCUCACUUGCGUUUAGCAAAUUAAAACAUCAUGCUAGAAUGUGGAGCACUGUGUGUUAUAAUCUUCCUGUUUUGGUCACAUACUCUAGAAAUAAGAAUAUUUGAACACGUUUUGGAAAAUCCUGUGCUCUGUUGCCUGAGGUACAGUAUCCUCAAAGGACACCGCUGAUCCAACAAACUCCACAAAAUAAGCAAAAUGAGUUUCCUUUGUUGCUUAUGGCUGCUAAAUUAUAAUAAAAGAAUUAUAAAUCUGGGUUCACUUUUUCUAUCAUUGUUUUACGCUUACUUUUAUAUUCUGUUGGAUUAUAACAGAUUAAUUUGUUUUAGUUUUCUUUCUAGCCACUUUUCAAGCUCCAGCUUAGUAACAAGGCUCCAUUUGCUUUCAGAAAAACAAAGUCCCAACAUCUUCCAAAAUUUUUCCAUUUAUGCUACAGUUUCUUAAAAAAAUAAUUGCUAACAACAAUAGUAUUUGGACUUCGACUAGCUGGCAGAGCAAUGUCCUUUGAUAGUUAUCUUCAGACUAUUUUUUAAUACUUUAUGUCACUUCAUUGCUUCAAGACCCAUAUAACUUAUUCUAGCUUGCCAGAGGAAUUCUUGCUCUUACCCCACCACUGACUGCUCUGCCAGGAAAGCCCCUGCUCUUGCCCAUUCUUAAACUGGGUGAUAUUGGGCCCAGAAGGAGAAGCAGAAAGGCGAAAUGGCUGUAACUGUCAGCAUAAGCAGCACUAGUUGCCUUCCAUGCAAUCUCAGGCGAUCCAUCUGUCCUACCUCCAAGCUGUAAGACUGGAGAAAAGACUGCUUUUAUCUCCUGUUUCAAUCAGACUCUUUCAAUUGGAAGUGCGUGUUUGUGCAAGACACAAUGGGGCCACGCCACUGUUUGGAGCUUCCCAGUGCUACUCUGAUACAGAUAACAAAAACAAUUAGAAACAAAAGUACUCUUAUGCUGGGGCACUUUAAAACCUAUAUACGCUGAUCAUAAGUGGACUCAGCUUCAUUUUCUGCAGCAUAUACAGCAGGAUACUUCCCCCACGGUAAUUGACAUUUUGCACUAGCCUGGUUCCAACGAAAAUCGAUCCGAUUCCUUCCUAAUAACAACAGAGAGUCAUCUUGGAUGACAGGUCUUAGCCAUUAAUUUAAUUGAUCACACAUACUGAUCCAGAUUUGGGGAAAUAUUAUUCUAGCA
rnacentral:lncRNA from 1 species